GGUGACAAAGCGAGACCCCAUCUCAAAAAAAUUUUUAAAAAGUGGAAAUAGAAAAUACAAUAAAAAAUGACAUAAAGGAUUCCAUUUCAGACAUACAAUAUUCAACUAGUACAGGAGUCACAAAAAGAGAAGCUCUGAAAAAUGGAUGGAAAGAAAUUAUCAAAGAUAUGUUAGAAUUCCCCACAAAGAUAAAGAAUUCAGGUCUUUAGAUUAUAAAGGUUCACCAAGCAUCUAGCAUUCUGAAGGGAAGAAGACCCUAUUUAUCUCACUAGUACGGAAUUUCAGAAACACAAGGACAGAGAAAAUCUUUAAAGCUUCCAGAAAGAAAAACCAGACCUAGCAAAAAGUGUGAACAGACUAGCAUCACCCAUCUCAUCAGCAGAACUGGAGGCAAGAUUUUUUUUUUCUGGAAUUUGAUACCAAGCCAAACUGUACAAAUGCGAAGACAAAAUAAAAACAUUUACAGAUGCGUGAGCCACCGUGCCUGGCCAGACUGCAGUUUUCAGUAACUUAUUUGACAUGAGAUGAAAGGAAGGGUAGUCAUCAAAGAUGAGAGUAGUAAUUGCUAUGUAUUUUGAAAUUCUUGGCCGGAUUGUAGCUCACACUAUUUUAGGGUAAGGGUUGAUCCUGUAUGCCUGCUACAAAAUGGAAUGUGUUUAUAAUUCAGUGAUUGUUCUUCCCUGCUUGUGUUGCAUCUUUAUUUGUGACAAACAAUUUUUGUACAUAUUUGCUAUGAAAUGUAAGGUGGAAAAAUACCGUAACCUGAUAAAUCACAUUCCACUUACCUAAAAAAGAAAAAUGGUAAAAAAUAUUUAACAUUACAAAGUAAAGUUCUUCAUGACCUCAUGAUUUAAAGGCAUAAAUGGCUGCUAGAUUCCAGUUAGGCUGUUGAACAGAUAGUUGUUUUUUGUUUUUUGUUUUUUAAAUGCAAGGCUAACUGACACAUACUGGAAUCCAGCCCAUGAAGUUGGCCCCAUGAGUUCAAGUCUGUAAUCCAUUAGUCUUCAAAGUGUGAUGUGACAGCACUUUGGGGUAUAGAAAAGAAGAUAACUUUUUUACGUGUAUAUAAUUUUAAGGAUACAAGUAUUGUGUAUGUAGUUGUUUUUUUGUUUUUUCUGCUAAGGAUGUGCUACCAAAAAGUUCAAAGAACACUGCUGUAAUCAGCUGAGCUAACAGACCAGUUACAAAGACCAGGGUCAUAAGUCUAUAGGUUUCCUGUCAUUGAUCUCAGUGUGGUGUAAUGGUAAGGGCCUUGUUUUUAAAGUCAGGAGACCUAGAAUUGAGCCCUAAGUUUACCACUUACUGGCUUGUGAUCUUUUCUGCCUUCAAUUAAUCUCUUUAAAGUUCAGGCUGUAGAAUAUUCAAACCAGUUUGUUUUUAGAGGAUCUGUCACAUUGCUACUGGUAAAUGGGGGAAGUACAUAGAAAACUCUGAAAUGUUUAUGCUUGUUCUAAGGUUUACUUGUUUAUGUUACAUCAGUUCUCUCUAACAUUAAUAUGUGAUCAAAGAUUUGUCAUGAAGCAUGAAUAUAAAACAUAAAAAAACACCUAACACAGAGUUGAUAUGUGGUAGGUGCUCAGUAUUUGCUGGAUUUCUAGUCUUAUUUGGAGAAAAGGGUGUCUGAAACCCUCGUACCUUGGUCUUAUUUGGAGGAAAGAGGUAGCAUCUUAAGAGUCAGCUAAUGCUUGGUUGUAUGCUAAUACCUACUGCACAGGAUUGUUGUGAGAAUUAAAGGACAUAAUGCACAGGAAAUUAUGAAAUAAAGAUCUAAACUGAUGUUAGGAAAUGAUUUGAUUAUUGUUGCUGAAGUUCUAGGAGAGUCCAAUAUGAUUGAACUGCCUAA